rnacentral:rRNA from 1 species
AUUGAACGCUGGCGGCAUGCUUUACACAUGCAAGUCGAACGGCAGCGCGGGCUUCGGCCUGGCGGCGAGUGGCGAACGGGUGAGUAAUGCAUCGGAACGUGCCCAGUAGUGGGGGAUAGCCCGGCGAAAGCCGGAUUAAUACCGCAUACGACCUGAGGGUGAAAGCGGGGGACCGAAAGGCCUCGCGCUAUUGGAGCGGCCGAUGUCGGAUUAGCUAGUUGGUGGGGUAAAGGCUUACCAAGGCGACGAUCCGUAGCUGGUCUGAGAGGACGACCAGCCACACUGGGACUGAGACACGGCCCAGACUCCUACGGGAGGCAGCAGUGGGGAAUUUUGGACAAUGGGGGCAACCCUGAUCCAGCCAUGCCGCGUGCGGGAAGAAGGCCUUCGGGUUGUAAACCGCUUUUGUUCGGGAAGAAAUCGUCUGGGCUAAUACCCCGGGGGGAUGACGGUACCGGAAGAAUAAGCACCGGCUAACUACGUG